UACGUAGGGGGCAAGCGUUGUCCGGAAUCAUUGGGCGUAAAGCGCGUGUAGGCGGCCAGGUAAGUCCGUUCUGAAAGCCCGGGGCUCAACCCCGGGAGGCGGAUGGAUACUGCUUGGCUCGAGUCCGGAAGAGGCGAGUGGAAUUCCCGGUGUAGCGGUGAAAUGCGUAGAGAUCGGGAGGAAGGCCGGUGGCGAAGGCAGCGCUCUGAAACAUUUCUGACGCUGAGGCUCGAAAGCGUGGGGAGCAAACAGG
rnacentral:rRNA from 1 species